rnacentral:rRNA from 1 species
AUCUCAGCUUAAGCAAGAGGACCCGCCGAAUUUAAGCAUAUAAUUAAGCGGAGGAAAAGAAACUAACCAGGAUUCCCCCAGUAAGGGCGACUGAAGCGGGAAGAGCUCAGGAUGUGAAUCUGCGCCAGCCUAUCGCGGCGCCGAAUUGUGGUCUGUCGACUGUGGCAUUACUGGCCGGGCCAAGUCCCUUGGAACAGGGCAGCUGAGAGGGUGAGACUCCCGUCCGCCUGGCUGGGUGAGCCGCAAGUCCAAGAGUCGAGUUGUUUGGGAUUGCAGCUCCAAGCGGGUGGUAAAUUCCAUCUAAAGCUAAAUAUUGGUGGGAGACCGAUAGCGUACAAGUACCGUGAGGGAAAGAUGCAAAGAACUUUGAAAAGAGAGUUAAAUAGUACCUGAAAUUGCUGAAAUGGAACCGAUAGGAGGCAGUGUCGGUGUCGUAUACUUGUAUGCGGCACAAGUCGGGCUUCUUUUCUGGCGCGGGAAAGGUUGGUGGACCAGUUUGGGCCAUCUAUGCCGUCGUGCCGGGGAAGGACUUCGACGAAAUGCCUCUUAUCACCCCGUCUUGGAACACGGACCAAGGAGUCUAACAUGUGUGCGAGUGCUCGGGGUCAACCCCCCAGCGCGAAAUAAACGUAAAGGUGAACUUGUUCACUUAGGUAGGAUCCUUAGGUGCACUAUCGACCGACCAUGAUCCUCCGGGAGAAAGGUUUGAGUGUGAGCAUACAUGUUGGGACCCGAAAGAUGGUGAACUAUGCUUGAGUAGGGCGAAGCCAGGGGAAACUCUGGUGGAGGUCCGCAGCGAUUCUAACGUGCAAAUUGAUCGUCGAACUUGGGUAUAGGGGCGAAAGACUAAUCGAACCAUCUAGUAGCUGGUUCCUCCCGAAAUUUCCCUUAGGAUAGCUGCAACCGAACAGUUUUAUCAGGUAAAGCGAAUGAUUAGAGGCCUCAGGGGUGGAAUAUCCUUGACCUAUUCUCAAACUUUAAAUGGGUAAGAACCCUGGGUUGCUUAAUUGAACCCGGUGGUCGAAUGACGGUUGCUAGUGGGCCAAUCUGGGUAAGCUAGAUUGGCGAUGCGGGAUGAUCCGAACGUCGAGUUAAAGUGCCAAAGUAUCCGCUAACCUAGAUCCCACAAAAGGUGUUGGUUCAUUAAGACAGCAGGACGGUGGCCAUGGAAGUCGGAAUCCGCU